rnacentral:rRNA from 1 species
UACGUAGGGUGCAAGCGUUGUCCGGAAUUAUUGGGCGUAAAGAGCUCGUAGGCGGUUUGUCGCGUCUGCUGUGAAAACUCGGGGCUUAACCCCGGGCCUGCAGUGGGUACGGGCAGACUAGAGUGCGGUAGGGGAGACUGGAAUUCCUGGUGUAGCGGUGAAAUGCGCAGAUAUCAGGAGGAACACCGGUGGCGAAGGCGGGUCUCUGGACAAGUACUGACGCUGAGGCGCGAAAGCGUGGGGAUCAAACAGG